ACUUGAUUCCUUUUAAGGAUUCGGGUUAUUCUGAGUCACUCACUAAACUGAUCUGGGUUGUGCAAGUCACUUGGUUCACCAAUUUGCUAAAAAUCCUU